ACGAGGUUAAGUUAGUUGAGACUAUAUGUUUUCAAAACAUAAAGCGAUGUUAGUCACUUCGUG
rnacentral:tRNA from 1 species